ACAUUUGAAACUGGCAGGCUUGAGUCUCGUAGAGGGGGGUAGAAUUCCCGGUGUAGUCGGUGAAAUGGUAGAGAUUGGAGGAAUACCGGUGGCGAAGGCGGCCCCCUGGACGAAGACUGACGUUCAGGUGCGAAAGCGUGGGGAGCAAACAGGAUUAGAUACCCUGGUAGUCCACGCCGUAAACGAUGUCGACUUGGAGGUUGUUCCCUUGAGGAGUGGCUUCCGGAGCUAACGCGUUAAGUCGACCGCCUGGGGAGUACGGCCGCAAGGUUAAAACUCAAAUGAAUUGACGGGGGCCCGCACAAGCGGUGGAGCAUGUGGUUUAAUUCGAUGCAACGCGAAGAACCUUACCUACUCUUGACAUCCAGCGAACUUGGCAGAGAUGCCUUGGUGCCUUCGGGAACGCUGAGACAGGUGCUGCAUGGCUGUCGUCAGCUCGUGUUGUGAAAUGUUGGGUUAAGUCCCGCAACGAGCGCAACCCUUAUCCUUUGUUGCCAGCGAUUCGGUCGGGAACUCAAAGGAGACUGCCGGUGAUAAACCGGAGGAAGGUGGGGAUAACGUCAAGUCAUCAUGGCCCUUACGAGUAGGGCUACACACGUGCUACAAUGGCGCAUACAAAGAGAAGCGACCUCUCGAGAGCAAGCGGACCUCACAAAGUGCGUCGUAGUCCGGAUCGGAGUCUGCAACUAGACUCCGUGAAGUCGGAAUCGCUAGUAAUCGUGGAUCAGAAUUGCGCAUUGAAAAGGUUCUCGUACUCAGUACAGGCGGCCGGUCACUCCGCGCGUGUUAGUCUAAAAGACGUAGGUAGGAAGCCUUACUGAUGGCGUAGGAGCAUGGCGCGAUCGAGAUAGCGGCAAUCCGUGGNCGA
rnacentral:rRNA from 1 species